UUGUAUUUUGAUUUGAAGUACGGCCUGCCCACUGAUGUUAUUGAAGGGCCGCGGUAUUUUGACCGUGCAAAGGUAGCAUAAUCAUUAGUUUUUUAAUUGUGAACUGGUAUGAAUGGUUUGACGAGGCAUAAUCUGUCUUUAAUUUGAAUUGUUAUUGAAUUUGUUUUUUGGGUAAAAAUGCUCAAAUUUUGUUGUGGGACGAGAAGACCCUAUAGAGUUUUAUAUAGUACACUUAUGAAUGUUUGUUGUGUUGUGUUGAGGUGUAACUAAUAUUUUGUUGGGGUGAUGGGAAGAUAUAUUUAACUCUUCUUUUUUCUUUUCACUUAUUUGUGUUUUUGUGAUCCUUUAUUAUUGAUUAUAAAAUCAAAUUACCUUAG
rnacentral:rRNA from 1 species